rnacentral:rRNA from 1 species
UGCCAGCCGCCGCGGUAAGACGAACCGUCCAAACGUUAUUCGGAAUCACUGGGCUUAAAGGGUGCGUAGGCGGCCCUGCAAGUUGGGUGUGAAAGCCCUGGGCUCAACCUGGGAACUGCAUCUGAUACUGCUUGACUAGAGUAUGGUAGAGGGGUGUGGAAUUUCCUGUGUAGCGGUGAAAUGCGUAGAUAUAGGAAGGAACACCAGUGGCGAAGGCGACACCCUGGACCAAUACUGACACUGAGGUGCGAAAGCGUGGGAGCGAACAGGAUUAGAUA